CAGCCGCCGCGGGAACACGUAGGUGGCAAGCGUUGUCCGGAAUUAUUGGGCGUAAAGGGCUCGCAGGCGGUUUCUUAAGUCUGAUGUGAAAGCCCCCGGCUCAACCGGGGAGGGUCAUUGGAAACUGGGAAACUUGAGUGCAGAAGAGGAGAGUGGAAUUCCACGUGUAGCGGUGAAAUGCGUAGAGAUGUGGAGGAACACCAGUGGCGAAGGCGACUCUCUGGUCUGUAACUGACGCUGAGGAGCGAAAGCGUGGGGAGCGAACAGGAUUAGAUACCCCAGUAUCCCUGUCUCUUAUACA
rnacentral:rRNA from 1 species